rnacentral:tRNA from 1 species
GCACCUAUCGUCUAGCGGUCAGGACAACAGGUUUUCAACCUGUGAAGCGGAGUUCAACUCUCCGUGGGUGCUCCA